GCCUUAAUCUAGGCUUACCUGUAGGUUAAAGUGGUCUGUAAGGGUUUACAACCACGUUUUAAAGUGGAUGUAAACCAACUGUCAUCAAUUUUAAAUCAUUCACAUAGGUGAUAUCUAUAAGGCGGCGGCUAUACAUGCCUCCUGCAUAUAUCCUUAUAUUUUAAAACUCACCCCCUGAGCUGACAGUACCCCUGCAAUAUUGCCGAAUGUGCGGGCGUUUAUUUUAUUUUUUUAGCGCUCGUGGGUGGAGUUGUGACGUCAGAGGACUCCUCCGCCCACCGCUACAUUUCCCUGGCCAGCCAGCGUUGUGAGGACGAGCCUCGUGCCUGGUGAGACUGGCCUGCAUGUACAGGAGUGACAGGGCAUGUUCUUUGAAGAAGCAGAGCGCGCUCAUGUUACUCCUGCGCAUGUGCAGAACAGUAGGCACGAGAUGGUUUAUCGAGAAGCAGAGAGGCAUAGAAGCAGAAAGGUAGAGAAGUAGGCAAGCAGAGAAGCAAAACCAUUGUAAAGUAUAUUAAAAAAAAAUGCCUGUCUUAGGUUCGUGCACGAGAUAUGUAAAUCACAUGUCACUCACAGCAGGGGGGAAGGUGGUCUGGUUUUAUCGAACUGAAAAAACAUAAGAGGAUUGCUCAGAGCUGGAUUAACUCUUUGUGGCAAGACUGGGCACAAAUGAUCUGAAAUCCCAUACUCUAUAUUGCGCAAGCAAAUAAAAUAAAAU